CAUGCAUAAAUCCAGGAAGUCAGAUUCCUCAAGCUGGUUGCUUAUCGUUGCCAAGUUGCCAACAUCAAACAGAAUGGCAAAUGGGUUCUUUAGAUGUUUUGAAUGCAAUAAGGACGCGCACGAGCUUCGCAAAGGUUACAGUAAUGGGAUCUUGAAGAUAAUAAUAUGUUCAUUCUAUACUGCAGCAGAAGGCUCUCCCCGCUGGCUGUGUGUGUGGGUCUGCUAUUGGAGACGUGCAUAGCCCAGGCAUUUCAGACACUUCCAUGGAGCAUACCGGACAUCCUGCCGUUCCAGUGACCUGUUUCAGGCCGGUCCUAAAGAACACACUGUUACAAUGGCGCCUAUUAUACCCGGGACCAGAGAGCGGAGGACCUGAGCCCUAGGACCAUGCCUCAGGACUACCUGGCAUGAUGACUCCUUGCUGUCCCCAGUCCACCUGGCCGUGCUGCUGCUCCAGUUUCAACUGUUCUGCCUGUGGCUAUGGAACCCUGACCCGUUCACCGGACGUGCUACCUGUCCCAGACCUGCUGUUUUCAACUCUCUAGAGACAGCAGGAGCGGUAGAGAUACUCUAAAUGAUCGGCUUUGAAAAGCCAACUGACAUUUACUCCUGAGGUGCUGACUUGCUGCACCCUCGACAACUACUGUGAUUAUUAUUAUUUGACCAUGCUGGUCAUUUAUGAACAUUUGAACAUCUUGGCCAUGUUCUGUUAUAAUCUCCACCCGGCACAGCCAGAAGAGGACUGGCCACCCCUCAUAGCCUGGUUUCUUCCUAGGUUUUGGCCUUUCUAGGGAGGUUUUCCUAGCCACCGUGCUUCUACACCUGCAUUGCUUGCUGUUUGGGGUUUUAGGCUGGGUUUCUGUACAGCACUUUGAGAUAUCAGCUGAUGUAAGAAGGGCUAUAUAAAUACAUUUGAUUUGAUUUUAAGCACACAUGCUGAAAGUGUUCCAGCAAGCGUGUAGUGAGUGCAGCAUUAUUCAACCUGGUGUAGUGGUAGAUCAUGAGCCUGGAUAAUCAGUUUAGUAUAACAAGAAUCACAUCAGAGCUAUUAGAAUGUUGAGACCAGUGCAUAAAUGUGCUGUUAAAGGGAAACAACAUUUGAGUCAUUGGGACAAAAGAUGUCAUGAAGAAUAGAGAAUUUGCAGUUGUAAUUCUCUAUCUCCGUGAAGGAGAUGAAGAAGAGCUCAGUGUAAGCUCAUGAGGAUAGUGCCAGCCAGGUCCAGGGCUCAGAGAGUAAAAGUCAGACAGGAUCACUGAAGGAGGGCUGACUGUUCUGUGCCAAAGCUGGGCUGUAAACUCUCAAUCAGCUUUUCAAAACCCUCUGGACAAGUUAACCAAGGUUUCAGACAGCACAUCUGUUGACACAAUUUCCCAUUAAUUGCUCAAGCUUUGUGGUGAGCAGUGUGUUUGUGGUCUGUGAAUGUUGGCACAGCCCAGUUGUACAUAGCCCAUUGCUUGUGUUGUAAACUGUCCCACCCCAGCGGCAGAAUUACACAUACCUUGGAUUUGCUUUCAAUCAAGAUUAUGUUAAUCUACCACAAUCUCUUAAACAGGUGCUCAGCCCAGCACAGAGGCAUGUUCACUACAGGCUGCAUUCCAAAAGGCAGUGGUGUAAAGUACUUAAGUAAAAAUACUUGAAAGUAUUACUUAAGUCAUUUUUUGGGGUAUCUGUACUUUACUUUACUAUUUAUAUUUUUGACAACUUUUACUUUCACUUCACUACAUUCCUAAAGAAAAUGACCUACUUUCUAGUCCAUACAUUUUCCUGAAACCCAAAAGUACUUGAUACAUUUUGAAUGCUUAGCAGGACAGGAAAAUUGUUUAAUUCACACACUUAUCAAGAGAACAUCCCUGGUCAUCCCUACUGCCUCUGAUCUGGCGGACUCACUAAACAAAAAUGCUUAGUUUGUAAAUUAUGUCUGACUGUUGGAGCGUGACCCUGGCUAUCCGUAACUUUAAAAAAUAAGAAAUGGUGCUGUCUGGUUUACUUAAUAUAAGGAAUUUGAAAUGAUUUAUACUUUUACUGAUACUUAAGAUACUUAAGUAUAUUUGAGCAAUUACAUUUACUUUUGAUACUUAAGUAUAUUUAAAACCAAAUACUUUAAAACUUUUACUCAAGUAGGAUUUUACUGGGUGACUUUCACUUUUACUUGAGUCAUUUUCAAUUAGGGUAUCUUUACUUUUACUCAAGUAGGAAAACUGGGUACUUUUUCCACCACUGCCAAAAGGGCACUUCAUGCUAGUCAAUAUUUACCCCUACUUCUCCUUUGAAUACAAGUAGCUCAUAUUGUACUCUAAGGGACACACGCUGGUGUAUGAAGUGUGAGUGUGUGAAGAGGGGAUUCAUUCAGAUCUGCCUUAAUUUUAGCUGCCCAGCCGGAUUGGUUGCUUUAUAACGAUAGUUGACCGUUGCUCUCUGUCUGUGAGAAGAUACAGUAACAGGGUAACUAUCUGAGGGUCCACCAGUGUUGAUCACAUGACUUGUCUACGGAGCCUUGACCUGAUAAGAAAACACUUACAUAGCCAUAUUGUGCAAUAGCUCUCUACUUCACCUAAACUGCACAUUCCAGAACCUUUGCUUCUUAGUUUUCAGUAUGAGACAAUAACAAUGUUACCUUCAGCUGUACAUAUAAACUCAGCAAAAAAAUAAACAUCCUCUCACUGUCAA